rnacentral:rRNA from 1 species
GAUGAACGCUAGCGGCAGGCCUAACACAUGCAAGUCGAGGGAGAAGCCCUUUCGGGGGCGGUCACCGGCGCACGGGUGCGUAAAGCGUAUGCAACCUACCUUUCACCGGGGGAUAGCCCGAAGAAAUUUGGAUUAAUACCCCAUAAUUUUAUUGGAUGGCAUCAUUUGAUAAUUAAAACUGCGUUGGUGCAAGAUGGGCAUGCGUCCGAUUAGCUAGUGGGAGUGGUAACGGCACCCCAAGGCUACGAUAGGGAGGGGUCCUGAGAGGGAGAUACCCCAGACUGGAACUGCGGCAGGGACCAGAAUGCUACGGGGGGCAGCAGUAAGGAAGACUGGGGGAGGGUCGGAAGACUGAACCAGCCAUGCCGCGUGCAGGAAGAAUGCGUUAGGGGUGGUAAUCUGCUUUUAGAUAAGAAGAAUAGGGCGUACGGGUACGUUGAUGACGGUACCAAAUGAAUAAGCAUCGGCUAACUCCGUG